rnacentral:rRNA from 1 species
UACGAAGGGGGGCUAGCGUUGUUCGGAUUUACUGGGCGUAAAGCGCACGUAGGCGGACUAUUAAGUCAGGGGUGAAAUCCCGGGGCUCAACCCCGGAACUGCCUUUGAUACUGGUAGUCUUGAGUUCGAGAGAGGUGAGUGGAAUUCCGAGUGUAGAGGUGAAAUUCGUAGAUAUUCGGAGGGAAACACCAGUGGCGAAGG